AUGUGUUUUGUCGUCGGGCUUAGUAUCCUGACCGUCCAUCAACACGAUCGAUCUGGAACUGGCACGGACUCGGGGAAUCCGACUGUCCAAUUAAAACAGAGAAGACAGAUGGUCCUCGCGGACGUUUACUGUCUCUGGUUUCCGCCCAGUGCUCUGAAUGUUAAAUCGUAGCAAUUCGAGUAAGCGCAGGUAAACAGCGGGAGUAACUAUGACUCUCUUAAGGUAGCCAAAUGCCUCGUCAGCUAACUACUGACGCGCGUGGUCCCGAUGGUUCGUGACCGCCUCGUUUUGGGA
rnacentral:ncRNA from 1 species